AAAGCCUUAGACCAAAAAUAGAGCAAACUCACGAAACAGAGAGCCGGGAAACUCACGCAGGCAACGGAAAAAUCUAGGGUUUCUUACAAAUCACUAAUUCUUGAACUCAGGUAUGUAAAAUCCCCUAUUGUCAAUUACCCUACAGUAGUAAUAGGUAAGAAUUGAAUAGUUAAUUCCCUGUUUCCUCAAUAUCAACAAUAAAUUUCAUAUUUAGGCGUAGUAUUUUAAAAUUGAUUAAAAUGCACUGGUUGUUGUAGAAUCGAUUGUUUGACUGGUGGCAAUUGGACUGGAGCCUACGUAUUGGCUCGAAAAGUUUUGAGGUGAGUUGAUAUAACCCUUUACUAAAGUGGUUUAACUCAGAAAGCACGUAUACAAGGUGUUUGAUAAAUUGCUUAAAAGAUUUUAUAUUUACUUAAUUGGAGAGAGUGAGUACCUAUUAACUUAGAAUUGUUCUAGCAAAAGUUUAGAUGAUUUAUUAUGAUAUAUGUGUGUAAAUUUUCAGAUUUUUGUAUUAUUCUUAUAUGCCAUUUUCAUGUUGAAAAUUCAUGAAAAAGCAAGAAUAUUUAGAAAUUUUGAAUGUUUAUUUCAUUCUUAUGCCCUACCUUACAUUUAAGAAUUCUAGAAUAAGUAUGUUUGAAAGAUUUAGACUUGAAAAGUCACAAGAAGAAGUUUUAGAAAGAAAUGUUUUUUUAGGAGUAUCCUUUAUUCUAAGAAGGGGUCAUCGUCCAUGCCGAGGGUCCUGACCAAGGCGUUUACUUCCUGAAACUACUUGUGCCAAAGUAGGGAGCACACGAGCCGAGAGUCUCGUUGUUGAGAAUUUACUUAGCGAUGCUAAGAUAUGAUACAUGAGCGCUGAGAACCAUGAAGCGAGUGACACCUCGUAGAUUGGGCCUAUUCGAUCAGGUUGAGAUCGAACCUGUGCCGAUCACACGGUGACUGAGACAGAAUUAAGUCAGGAUAGUUGGAACUCCCAAAGUAUAAAGAGAAGUAAUGUUUUUUAGAAAAAGAAAAGAAUUUCUUUUAGAAUAUUCAUAAACUACUAUUAUGCUAUUAUUUUAGAAUUGUUCUUAGAGGCUUUAUGUUUUCUAUGCAUUUAUAUUCUUUGCUCGUAAGAUGUAUUGUAUUAAAGUUGUGUCCCCUGUUAUUGAGACUCACUGAGUAUAAUGGAUGGUACUGACGUUCUUUUUUGGGAACCUACGUUGGUCUGCGAUACAACAUAGGAACCGGUUUUGCAGGCGAGUAGGCUACGGGUUAGGACUUCCUUCUCUUCCAGUGCUAUUGGUGAGCUCCGCUUUUGUUCGUGGAGUGUUCCUUUGAGUCAUCUUUAUUUAGUUAUUUCUUUGUUUACUUAGAGAACUGAAAGAAAUCUUAUGUCCUGAGUAGUGCGUUAGUUUAUCAGUAGAGGCUUCAUAGACAUAGUCGUUGGGUUAAGAUUCAGAUGUUUUUGAUAAUAACUUAGCAGUAAUUCAGUAGUUACUACAAAUAAAGUUUUGGAGUUGAUUUAUUUAAAUAUUUAAAAGUAAUCAAAAGUAUUUGGUUAGAGUAUUGCCUUGUUGCAUAUAAGGUUUGGAGUUAUAAUAAAUUUGAUAAACAAAGAUGGUUCGCUCGGUCAUGUUUAGUGAUCGAGUGCCGGUCCUGGCUUGUUCAGAAAAUGAGUCGUGACAAACUUGAUAUCAGAGCCUCAGGUUUAAGGAGUCCUAGGGGUCUAUGAAGCCGUGUUAGUAGAGUCUUGUUUAUGGGUAUGAAGCGCGCCAUACUUAUAAACAAGAGGCUUCAAGCAUUUAGGAAAAAUUUCAUUUUUUCAUACUUUAGAUCGUGCAGUAGAUCCUACCUCUAAGAAAAUAUCUAAUGUAUUCGUUUCUCCAGAACUCGUAGAAAUGGCUCGUACUCGCAACUCUCCCGAUGUGGGUCAGAUGUAUAAUAUUGUCAACACUGCUAUGGAGAUGUUUAAAUCCUUUAUGGCCAACCAGAACGAGAGAAGAGAUGAGAUUUCACCUCAAUCAAAUAGAUAGAACAAUUCUGAGUCCUCAAGAGUGAAUAAAUUUUUGAAGUUUUGUCCUCUAGUGUUCCAUGGUUCUAUAGUUGAUGAAGAUCCAAUGUUGUGGCUGGAGGGUGUCAAGAAAGCCCUCCGAGUGAUGAAAGCAUUUGAUGAUGAAGCUGUGGAGCUGGCUGCUUACCAGCUUAGAGAUAUGACUGGCGCUUGGUUUGAGAUAUGGGAAAAGGAAAGAGAUGAAGAUGAUGGUCCGCCUACUUGGGAAGAAUUUGAAGAGGCCUUCAUGGCUAACUUUAUCCCAUAAGAGGAUAGGGAAGCUAAGUCUACAGAGUUCGAACAACUUAAGCAAGGGAAUAUAAGUGUGCAAGAGUACUAAGGGUUGGCUAAGCAUGCUCUUCACAUUGUUAAGAUAGAAAAAGCAAAGAUUCGCAGGUUUGUUGGCGGUUUAGCUUACGACAUUAAGGAUAUGAUAUCAGCUACAGCAGUAGGGAUGACAACCUUCUCCUCUAUUGUGGGAUUUGCCAAGCACUUAGAAAAAGGCAGACAACAAAGGAGAGAAGAAAAAGAGCAUAACAAGAAAGCCCGGACAGCGUGCAGGUUUAAUGGUACAUCCAGAGGAGGUGGAAGGGAUUCCUCUAAUAAGGAGUCAUUAGCACCAGCUCAGUCUAGUCAUCAGUCAGGUGGUGGGUCUUCCUUCAGACGUACUCAGAGUUAUAGAAAUCAGUAUCGCCAGAAUCAAAAUUUUAGGACAUCAUCCUCACAUAGCCAGAGUCAGGCUGAGCAACAUUCACACCAACAAGGUCUUUGUGGAACAUGUAAGCAACAACAUUUAGGUUAGGGCAAGCUCUGUUUUCAUGGUUGCUAUCAUUGUGGAGACAUUGGUCAUAUAAAAGCCAACUGCCCAAAGUUGCGAUGUAAUUUUAUUGGUGGAUCAACUCGUCCUUCUAGUUCCUCAGCUACUGCAGUUGCACCACCCCAGGCUAGUGGUUCUCAUAAUCAGGCCGGGUAUGGGGCAAAGGUGCAAAUCGAGUCACCCAGGGAGGGGGAUAACCCCGUUUGUUUGCUACACUUGAUCGUCAGAGUGCAGAGGCAUCUGUAGAAGUUAUUACAGGUAUACCUUUAGUCUGCUCACAUAAUGCUUAUGCCAUAAUGGAUCAGGUUCAACGCUUUCAUAUGUGACUCCAUACUUUGCAAUUAACCUCGAACUAGAACCUGAACAACUUAGUGAGCCAUUCCUAGUAUCUACUCCAGUUGGCGACUCAGUGAAAGUCACCAGAGNNNNNNNNNNNNNNNNNNNNNNNNNAGUCAGGUUCCAAUUUCCAAAUGAAGAAGUCUUAGAGUGGAAGGGUAGUUCAACAUCGCUUGUAGGUAAGUUUAUUUCUUACCUUAAGGCACAACGAAUAAUCGGUAAGGGGUGUCUCGCCUAUUUGGCUCACAUCAUUAAUCCAGAAUCAGAACCACCAACUCUUCAGUCUGUGCCAGUUGUUAGAGAAUUUCCAGAAGUUUUUCCAGAUGACCUUCCCGGACUUCUUCCUGAAAGAAUCAUAGACUUUGGCAUUGAUAUCAUGCCAGGCACUCAGCCCAUAUCUAUACCUCCUUAUAGGAUGGCUCCAGCAGAAAUUAAUGAGUUGAGAGAACAGUUGAAAGACCUUCUUGACAAGGGCUUCAUCAGGCCGAGUGUUUCACCGUGGGGUGCCCCGGUCCUGUUUGUCAAGAAGAAAGAUGGGUCUCUCAGAAUGUGCGUCGACUAUCGGUAGUUGAAUAAAGUUACCAUUAAGAACAAGUAUCCACUGCCAAGAAUUGAUGAUUUAUUUGAUCAACUUCAGGGUGCAAAGUACUUUUCAAAAAUAGACUUGAGGUCGGGGUCCCAUCAGUUGAGAAUCAGAGAAGAGGAUAUAUCUAAAAUAGCCUUUAGAACUCGCUACGGGCACUAUGAAUUUCUAGUAAUGUCCUUCGGGUUGACAAAUGCUCCAACUGCAUUCAUGGACCUCAUGAACAGAGUUUUCAAGCCAUUCAUGGAUACCUUUAUUAUUGUGUUUAUAGAUGAUAUUUUGGUGUACUCUAAGAGCAAGGAAGAUCAUGCAAAACACCUCAAAAUAGCCUUGCACACCUUGAAGGAGAAUGAGUUUUAUGCCAAAUUUUCAAAAUGUGAGUUCUGGUUGCAGUUAGUGGCAUUCUUAGGCCACGUGGUAUCUAGUAAAGGAAUAAAAGUAGACCCUCAGAAGACAGAAGCAGUCAAAAACUGGCCAAUGCCGACAAUGCCAACCAAAAUUAGAAGUUUCUUGGGGUUAGCUAGUUACUAUAGAAGGUUUGUAGGGGGGUUUUCCUCACUUGCAGCUCCAUUAACUAAGUUUACUCAGAAAGCAGUUAAGUUCCAGUGGUCAGACGCUUGUGAGCAGAGUUUUCAAGAGUUAAAGAGGAGGUUGACCACUGCACCUGUAUUAACCUUGCCGAUAGGUUCGGGUGGGUUCACAGUGUAUUGUGAUGCUUCAGAGUUGGUCUCGGUUGUGUUCUUAUACAAAAUGGAAAAGUUAUUGCUUAUGCUUACAGGCAGUUAAAGAAUCAUGAAAAGAACUAUCCCACACACGACUUGGAGCUUGUAGCAGUGGUAUUUGCAUUAAAGAUAUGGCGACACUACCUUUAUGGCGAGCAUUCUAAAGUGUUUACAAAUCACAAAAGCCUCCAGUACAUUUUCAAGCGAAAGAAUUAAAUUUGAGACAAAGAAGGUGGCUCGAUCUAUUGAAAGAUUAUGAUCUUAAUAUCCUUUAUCACCCCGGGCAAAGCUAAUGUGGUAGCAUAUGAACUUAGUAGGAAGUCAAUGGGUGUCUUGGCCCAUCUUGCAGUACAAAGGCGAUCUUUAGGUCGAGAAAUUAAAAAACUAGCAAAUGAUGGAAUUAGAUUAGAUAAGACCGAAGAAGGAGGUAUAACUGCUUAUGCAUUAGCGCAAUCCUCCCUUGUUGCGCAUGUUAAGGCUAAGCAAGACGAAGAUCCGUACUUAGUAAAAUUAAAAGGAGUCAGAAAUAAAGAAAUCACUGCUUUCACUCUAGGAAGUGACGGGGUUUUGAAGUUGAAUGAUCAGUUAUGUGUGCCUGAUGUAGAUGGUCUUAGGAAGGCCAUAAUGGAGGAAGCUCACAGUUCGAGGUACUCUAUCCACCCAGGUGCUACCAAAAUGUAUCUAGAUUUAAAAGAGUUGUAUUUGUGGAAAGGCAUGAAGAAACAAGUAGCAGAUCAUGUGGCUAAAUGUUUAAAUUGCUAGCAAGUCAAAGCCGAGCAUCAGAGGCCUGGUGGCCUAGCUCAAGAUAUAGAGAUACCACAGUGGAAGUGGGAGAUGAUUAAUAUGGAUAUCGUAGUAGGUCUACCUCGCACGUACCGUAAACAUGAUUCAAUUUGGGUUAUUGUAGACCGACUGACAUAGUCCACGCAUUUUCUACCAAUAAAGACGACAGAUUUCACAGAGCAGUAUGCGUAGUUGUACAUUAAAAAAAUAGUCCGAUUGCAUGGUACUUAGUUUCAAUCAUAUCUGACAGAGGCCCUCAAUUCACGACACAUUUUUGGUAGGCAUUUCAGAAAAGAUUAUGUACCAAGGUCAAUUUAAGCACCGCUUUCCAUCCACAAACCGAUGGCCAGGCAGAAAGGACCAUUCAGUCUCUCGAAGAUAUGCUACGUGCGUGUGUUAUAGAUUUUGGAGGUAAUUGGGAUGAUCACUUGCCACUUAUAGAAUUUGCUUACAAUAACAACUAUCAGGUCAGCAUUGGUAUGACUCCUUAUGAAGCAUUGUAUGGGCGGAGAUAUAGGUCUCCAGUGGGUUGGUUUGAACCAGCAGAGGUGCCAUUGAUUGGUCCAGAGUUUGUUUGUGAGGCCUUGGCUAAAAUUCAGCUAAUUAGAGAAAGACUUAAAGCAGCUCAGAGUCGUUAAAAGUCUUAUUCUGACAAGAGGCAUCGUGAGUUAAAGUUCAUAGUUGGUGAUAAGAUGUUUUUGAAAGUUUCACCAAUGAAAGAAGUUAUGAGGUUUGGUAAGAAAGGUAAGCCCUAGAUUUAUCGGACCUUAUGAAAUUCUAGAAAAGAAAGGAAACGUGGCUUAUAAGGUAGCGCUACCCGUUGAGUUGUCCUCUGUUCAUCCUGUCUUUCAUUCAUGAUGAGUCGCAUAUAAUACCUGCCGAUACCAUAAAAAUUAAAGAAGGCUUGACUUAUGAAGAGGUACCUAUAGAAAUUCUCGAUAGGCAAGUAAGAAAGUUGAGAACAAAAAAUUUAGCAUCAGUAAAAGUUUUGUGGAGUAAUCAUGAUUCAAAAGAGGCUAUGUGGGAGGUCGAGGAAGAUAUGAGAAAGAAAUAUCCAUAUUUAUUAGGUAUGUGAACCUAAGUUUGGUUUGACAUUUAUAUUUCAUUUAUUAAAUACAAGUUAGAAAGUAUUUCUGUCUUUCCUAGAUUAUACUUAGUUGUUGUAGUAAUUUAGUUUAUGCCGUAGUAUAUUUAAUUCAUUAAAGUGAUUUACUUGUGCUAGAGUUGUUGUACUUUAGAUUCUUGUUAGUUAUUGUGGUACCUCCUUGCCGAAGUGUGAGUAAUUAAUUUAUGAGCUGCGUAUGGCGCCUAUGAAUGGCCUGUUAGGGUAUAUUUGGUUGAUGUUGGUGUAGUUGUAGUAUUUGUGAUAGGGAUAUUUUUUUAAUAGUCUCAUUUACAAGGAAAACUCUGCCGAAUUUUUGAAAAUUUAGAGAGUUAGCCAAAAUUUUGAGUCCCUUGGAAGAGUGAGUAGUGCUAAGAAAAAUUUAAGAGGUUCAAGGACCUAAGGGAUGAUUGUUAGCUUAAGAAUAAGGCUCUAGUAACACUCGAGGACGAAUUUUUUUAAGGAGGGAAGAUUGUAACACUCCUCAAAUUUAUAAAAGUUUCGAGACACGCUAUUUAUAGAAUUAAAUUAUUAUUGUUUUUUUUUCUUACCUAUAGUAUAUAUAUAUAUAUAUAUAUAUAUAUAUAUAUAUAUANNNNNNNNNNNNNNNNNNNNNNNNNAAUUUAGGGUUUCUUACAAAUCACUAAUUCUUGAACUCAGGUAUGUAAAAUCCCCUAUUGUCAAUUACCCUACAAUAGUAAUAUGUAAGAAUUGAAUAAUUAAUUCCCUUCUUCCUCUAUAUCAACAAUAAAUUUCAUAUUUAGGUAUAGUACUUUAAAAUUGAUUAAAAUGCACUGGUUGUUGUAGAAUCGAUUGUUUGACUGGUGGCAAUUGGACUGGGGCCUACGUAUUGGCUCGAGAAGUUUUGAGGUGAGUUGAUAUAAUCCUUUACAAAAGUAGUUUAACUCACAAAAGCACGCACACAAGGUGUUUGAUAAAUUGUUUAAAAGACUUUAUAUUUACUUAAUUGGAGCGAGUGAGUACCUAUUAACUUAGAAUUGUUCUAACAAAAGUUUAGAUGAUUUAUUAUGAAAUAUGUGUGUAAAUUUUCAGAUUUUUGUAUUAUUCUUAUAUGCCAUUUUCAUGUUGAAAAUUCAUGAAAAAGCAAGAAUAUUUAGAAAUAAUUUUGAAUGUUUAUUUCAUUCUUAUGCCAUACCUUACAUUUAAGAACUCUAGAAUAAGUAUGUUUGAAAGAUUUAGACUUGAAAAGUCACAAGAAGAAGUUUUAGAAAGAAUUUUUUUUUUGGAAGUAUCCUUUAUUCUGAGAUGGGGUCAUCGUCCAGGCCGAGGGUCCUGACCAAGGCGUUAACUUCCUGAAACUACUUGUGCCAAAGUAGGGAGCACACGAGCCGAAGGUCUCGUUGCUGAGAAUUUACUUAGCCAUGCUAAGAUAUGAUACUUGAGCGCUGAGAACCAUGAAGCGAGUGACACCUCGUGGAUUGGGCCUAUUCGAACAGGUUGGGAUCGAACCCGUGCCGAUCACACGGUGACUGAGACAGAAUUAAGUUAGGAUAGUUGGAACUCCCAAAGUAUAAAGAGAAGUAAUUUUUUUUAGAAAAAGAAAAGAAUUUCUUUUAGAAUAUUCAUAAACUGCUAUUAUACUAUUAUUUUAGAAUUGUUCUUAAAGGCUUUAUGUUUUCUAUGCAUUUAUAUUCUUUGCUUGUAAGGUAUAUUGUAUUAAAGUUGCGUCCCCUGUUGUUGAGACUCACUGAGUACACUGGAUGGUACUGACGUUCUCUUUUAGGAACCUACGUUGGUCUGCGGUACAACGUAGGAACCGAUUUUGCGGGCGAGCAGGCUACGGAUUAAGACUUCCUUCUCUUCCAGUGCUAUUGGUGAGCUCCGCUUUUGUUCGUGGAGUGUUCCUUUGAGUCAUCUUUAUUUAGUUAUUUCUUUGUUUACUUAGAAAACUGGUCAAGAAAUCUCAUAUCCUGAGCAGUGCGUCAGUUUAUCAGUAGAGGUUUCAUAGACAUAGUCGUUGGGUUAAGAUUCAGAUGUUUUUGAUAAUAACUUAGCAGUAAUUCAAUAGUUACUACGAAUAAAGUUUUGGAGUUGAUUUAUUUAAAUAUUUAAAAGUAAUCAAAAGUAUUUGAUUAGAGUAUUGCCUUGUUGCAUAUAAGAUUUGAAGUUAUAUAAAUUUGAUAAGCAGAGAUGGUUCGCUCGGUCAUGUUUAGUGAUCGAGUGCCGGUCCCGGCUUGUUCAGAAAAUGAGUCGCGACAUUUUCUUUUCCAGCCUUAUCUUUGCGGCUGUUUUUAUACUUUAUCUGUUCUCUAUUUCAAGAAUGAUACAUCAAAACUUAAAUAGAUAAGAGAUCAAAAUGAUUAACUACAGUAAUCAGCAUAAUUACAUUUACCCCUCUAAUUAAAAACGUCCUAAUAAGAUACAAAGCUAUACGAGGAAAGUGAGAUGCGUGGUUUGUCAAUUACAACUUAAACAAUGUAGGCCAUCCCAACUUCAAGAAGGGAAGCUGGAGGCACCUUGAGGGAUACAUCUGCACCCCUACAAUUCCUCCUAAGGAAAUUAUAACCAUAAUUGAUAGCCAACCUCUUCAACAUAGAUGAUCCUUGUUUUGCUUUUACAUGUGAAUGUCCUAGUACAAAUGCUGUUCCAGCUUGUUGUGCUGCAUACAAAUCUUCUAGCUCCUCCUGCAGCUGACCAUCCAUUUCUUCCCUUGAAUCGACUUCCGACUCAUUAUCUAUGGCAAAUCUCACUCUUCUUUCCACAGGUUGCAUUUCGAUGACAUCCGUCACACUUUCAGCUGUAGGGAACCCCACAGACACACUUGCCGGUUGCACAUUGUCC
rnacentral:lncRNA from 1 species